rnacentral:rRNA from 1 species
AGAGUUUGAUCAUGGCUCAGAACGAACGCUGGCGGCGUGCUUAACACAUGCAAGUCGAGUGCGCGGUUGUAGCAAUACAACUGGCGCACGGCGCACGGGUGCGUAACACGUGGGCAAUCUGCCCUUCGAUGGGGAAUAACUCCGGGAAACCGAAGCUAAUUCCGCAUAACAUUCCUUGGACCUCGGUUCGAGGACUCAAAGCCGUAAGGCGUCGAAGGAGGAGCCCGCGCACGAUUAGCUAGUUGGUAGGGUAACGGCCUACCAAGGCUUUGAUCGUUAGCUGGUCUGAGAGGAUGGCCAGCCACACUGGAACUGAGACACGGUCCAGACUCCUACGGGAGGCAGCAGUGGGGAAUCUUGCACAAUGGGCGAAAGCCUGAUGCAGCGACGCCGCGUGGGGGAUGAAGCAUUUCGGUGUGUAAACCCCUUUCGACCCGGACGAACGCCUCGCAAGAGGAGUGACGGUACGGGUAUAAGAAGCCCCGGCUAACUACGUGCCAGCAGCCGCGGUAAGACGUAGGGGGCCAGCGUUGUUCGGAAUUACUGGGUGUAAAGGGUUCGUAGGCGGUGUGGCAAGUUGGGAGUGAAAUCUCUGGGCUCAACCCAGAGGCUGCUUCCAAAACUGCUGUGCUUGAGUGUGGGAGAGGCGCGCGGAAUUGCAGGUGUAGCGGUGAAAUGCGUAGAUAUCUGCAGGAACACCCGUGGCGAAAGCGGCGCGCUGGACCACAACUGACGCUGAGGAACGAAAGCUAGGGGAGCAAACAGGAUUAGAUACCCUAGUAGUCC